UGGGGAAUUUUGGGACGAUGGGCGAAAGCCUGAUCCAGCAAUGCCGCGUGUGUGAAGAAGGCCUUCGGGUUGUAAAGCACUUUUGUCCGGAAAGAAAUCCUUGGCUCUAAUACAGUCGGGGGAUGACGGUACCGGAAGAAUAAGCACCGGCUAACUACGUGCCAGCAGCCGCGGUAAUACGUAGGGUGCAAGCGUUAAUCGGAAUUACUGGGCGUAAAGCGUGCGCAGGCGGUUUGCUAAGACCGAUGUGAAAUCCCCGGGGCUCAACCUGGGAACUGCAUUGGUGACUGGCAGGCUAGAGUAUGGCAGAGGGGGGUAGAAUUCCACGUGUAGCAGUGAAAUGCGUAGAGAUGUGGAGGAAUACCGAUGGCGAAGGCAGCCCCCUGGGGCCAAAUACUGACGCUCAUGCACGAAAGCGUGGGGGAGCAAAACAGGAUUAGAUACCCCUGGGUAGUCCAGCGCCCUAAACGAUGUCAACUAGUUGUUGGGGAUUCAUUUCCUUAGUAACUAGCUAACGCGUGAAGUUGACCGCCUGGGGAGUACGGUCGCAAGAUUAAAACUCAAAGGAAUUGACGGGGUCAUAGCUGUUUCCU
rnacentral:rRNA from 1 species